rnacentral:ncRNA from 2 species
UCAAAGCCGUCUGGAGAGCCGCCCUACCCCUUAUCGGCGUGGUGGCGCACCGAAGGAGCAAACCGCACGCCAUGUGGGCGCGGCGGUGAAUCUCUCAGGUACCAAGGACAGGGGGAGCGGC